rnacentral:rRNA from 1 species
GACGAACGCUGGCGGCGUGCUUAACACAUGCAAGUCGAACGGAAAGGCCCUGCUUUUGUGGGGUGCCCGAGUGGCGAACGGGUGAGUAACACGUGAGUAACCUGCCCUUGACUUUGGGAUAACUUCAGGAAACUGGGGCUAAUACCGGAUAGGAGCUCCUGCUGCAUGGUGGGGGUUGGAAAGUCUCGGCGGUAGGGGAUGGACUCGCGGCUUAUCAGCUUGUUGGUGGGGUAGUGGCUUACCAAGGCUUUGACGGGUAGCCGGCCUGAGAGGGUGACCGGCGACAUUGGGACUAAGAUACGGCCCAGUCUCCUACGGGAGGCAGCAGGGGGGAGUAUUACGCAAUGGGCGGGAGCCUGAUGCAGCAACGCCGCGUGCGGGAUGACGGCCUUCGGGUUGUAAACCGCUUUCGCCUGUGACGAAGCGUGAGUGACGGUAAUGGGUAAAGAAGCACCGGCUAACUACGUG